rnacentral:lncRNA from 1 species
ACUCCGGCGCUCUGCGGAGGACAGCAGCGAUCGCCAAGGCUCACUCUAUGAUCAGAAGAUGGCAUAAGUGGGGCUGGGCACAGUGGCUCAGUGCCCAGCUGGGAUUACGCCUGUAAUACCAGCACUUUGGGAGGCCAAGGUGAGUGGAUCACGAGGUCAGGAGUUGAAGACCAGCCUGGCCAACAUGGAGAAACCCCGUCUCUACUAAAAAUACAAAAAAUUAGCCGGGCGCGGUGGCAGGUGCCUGUAAUCCCAGCUACUCGGGAGGCUGAGGCAGGAGAAUAGCUUGAACUCAGAGGGCGGAGGUUGCAGUGAGCCAAGGUUGCGCCACUGCACUCCAGCCUGGGCGACAGAGUGAGACUCCGUCUCUAAAAAACAAAAAAGAAGAUGGCGUAAUCAGAAGUUGAUAUUCUGUCUAUUGGAUCCUGCUUCUCCCCUGGGGUCUUCUUGGUUCCCUGAAGCCCCUCUUCCGGAGUCCCUGCCCUCUAUCGGCUCUGCCUCCUGCUUCUUUUCUGUAUUGCCAUGAUUUUUGCUAAGGAUAAAGGACAACUUCAUUGGCUUCUUUGGGAAACUUGCAAUCUCCCCAAACAGGCCCCUCUGAGAUUUCUCCUUUCCAUUUGCUUCUGCUCCCCCUUCCUCCUUUUGCCACCUUCGAUAUUUUC